UUUCUCUCUGUCACCAGUCUGAGGUCAGCCUGGGCUAGACGAAACAGCAUAAAAACGCGACUGACACGUGCAGGGUUUAUAGGAUGGGCUCGACUACAAGCAGAAACCCUCAAAGCCGUGGUACAUAUUUUGCAUGAGAACCAUCGGGUCUGGCUUCGACUUGGACUGGCUGUGUAACCCAGGUGCCCCCUGGAUCUGUCAUGGAACCGGAGUGAGCUGCGAUGUGCAGAUGGCGUAGCAAAGUCUUCCUGAUUGAGUGUUACAGAAGGCUGAGGUAAUGAACGCCGGAGCAAAGUAUGUCAUGCAGACUGUUUCUCCAACCCCAGGAUCGUCUCUGAUUAGAGUGGUGGCCCCAGCGUGGCGCAGAGGUCUGGCUAGGUUCUAUGCGAAGAAUAUUAUACCUGUCAGAGCUCUAUGAGAUGGAGUGGCCGGCCUCAGGAG